rnacentral:rRNA from 1 species
GCAAGUCGGACGGAAACGAUAGAGAAGCUUGCUUUUCUAGGCGUCGAGUGGCGGACGGGUGAGUAACGCGUGGGAAUCUACCCUAUAGUUGGGGACAACAUAUGGAAACGUAUGCUAAUACCGAAUAUGAUCUACGGAUUAAAGGAGCCCUCUUCUUGAAAGGUUUCGCUAUAGGAUGAGCCCGCGUAAGAUUAGCUAGUUGGUAAGGUAAUGGCUUACCAAGGCGACGAUCUUUAGCUGGUUUGAGAGGAUGAUC